rnacentral:hammerhead_ribozyme from 1 species
AUCCAGCUGACGAGUUUCAAAAAGAACGAAAUGCACAUCCUGGAU